ACCAAGGAGCCUGGCAUGCAUGCGAGUCAACGGGUUUUGAAACCUGGGAUACGCAAGGAAGAUGACGAGCGGGAGGCCCUCACGGGCCGCACCGCUGGCCGACCGUGAUCUUGUGUGAAAGGUUCGAGUUGGAGCAUGCCUGUCGGGACCCGAAAGAUGGUGAACUAUGCCUGAGCAGGGCGAAGCCAGAGGAAACUCUGGUGGAGGCUCGAAGCGAUACUGACGUGCAAAUCGUUCCUCUGACUUGGGUAUAGGGCGAAAGACUAAUCGAACCAUCUAGUAGCUGUUUCCCUCCGAAGAUUCCCUCAGGAUAGCUGGAGCCCAUUACGAGUUCUAUCAGGUAAAGCCAAUGAUUAGAGGCAUUGGGGAUGCAACAUCCUCGACCUAUUCUCAAACUUUAAAUAGCUAGGAUGGCUCGGCUGCUUCGGUGAGCCGUGCCACAGAAUCUGGUGCUCCAAGUGGGCCAUUUUUGGUAAGCCGAGUUACGGUGCCCAACUGCGCGCUAACCUAGAACACAGAAAGGGUGUUGGUCGAUUAAGAUAACAGGACGGUGGUCAUGGAAGUAGAAAUCCGCUAAGGAGUGUGUAACAACUCACUUGUCGAAUCAACUAGCCCCAAAAAUGGAUGGCGCUGAAGCGCCCUACCUACACCCGGCCAUCUGGGCGAGCACCAUGCCCAGAUGAGUAGGAGGGCACGGCGGGCGCUGCAAAACCCGGGGCGUGAGACCAGGCGGAGCGGCCGUCGGUGCAGAUCUUGGU
rnacentral:rRNA from 16 species